rnacentral:lncRNA from 1 species
GAACAAUAUUCUUGAAGGAAUGUCUUUUGUGAUAUUGGCGAGGUUGAUGGAGUGUUGAUCAAAAUGAGGCAGGUACUAUUGAUAAGGAUCAGACGAAGAGUGAGAGAGAGAAGAUGGUGAUAGAGGCUGGUGAAGUGCAAACUACCAAGACUACUUCCAAGUAAUCUUCCCUUUGUUCUGUCAGCUAAUCAUUAAUAAAAAGAAUAUGUGCUCUUUUUUUCUUUUUCUUUUUUUUAAUGAGAAGAGACGGUAGAUGUUGUCACCCUAUCAAUUCAUACUUGGGUUUAAAUUCUUGUGUUGAUAGGACAUGACGAUAAUUCGGUCUCACCACAAGAUUUUAAAUUAAUGUGAAAGACUUACAUUAAGCAGCAUUUUGAUGUAUUUCCAACACAUUGUAUAAGGAAUUCUUAUAGAAAAGCCAAGAGUGUAGAAGCUUCCGGUAAGUGUUGGAUGCCAAGCAACGGGGUUUGAUAACCUAAAAAUGUUACGGGAAAUGUGUGAGAAUGUUAAGUGUAUAAAUGAAAUACUCAACUUAGGUAAAAAGAUGAAAACGCGAUCUAAAAUGAUGAACUAUUAUUCUAAAUUUAAAAACACUAAUGGGAUAGUACGAGGAAUACCAUCCUCAAACAGCUAUAUGAUGUCAGUGCCAUUCAGGUUUCUUCAAAUGAAGAUAGACAGGACAUAAUAAAAGUAAAAUUACAGCAAGCAUUUUCUUUAACCCAAAGGCAUUGUUAAAGUUUACAAGCAAAGAUUUAUAUGGACAAAUUAAAUUAAAUGAAAAGAAAUAUCGUCUCUUUUUUAAACUAUCACUGUUUGAAAGAGUGCAACUGAUCUAUGAUCAUUAUUGAGCUAGUCAAUGAGGAUUGAUGGUAGGGAAGAAGUCACUAACAAGGUUACUUCCAAGGAGAUUGUUGGAGACAUGAGUAUGAAUUUUAGAAUAGACUGAAGAAGAUGGGGCUAAGGCUGAGGAUUCAGAAGUUACGGUAUUUAAGUUUAACUCCAAUGUAGUGUUGUCACAUUCUGGAAGUGCUGAAGAUAUGUUUUUGAGCUCUUACCACUUCCAACAUAGAAGUUCUACCCUUUGUUUCAUCUUGAGAACACAUGAUGUCCAAUUGCAUAAAUUUCUUUAUACACUCUGAUGGAUAUGGCCACAUACUCUCGUCUAUGAUGGAAAACAUCGUUCCAGAUUGACAUAUCAUGUUAACCUGUAAGUACAUAUUGUGAAAGUUAAUUAGAUGAUGUGAUAAAAGACAAAGCAAGAACUUGAAUGCUUGUAAUGCAUCUUCACACAAGUUAGAAAUUCAUAAAUCUAUUGUAUAAUAUUUCUCAUUCGUCCCAUCAAGCAAGCAUAUGAUCUUAAAAAUGAAUAUAGGCAAAACUUUAUAUGAAAUCCUCAAUAGGGUUUACAUGAUAGCACGGUGAAAUCCUUUGAUACCUCUCUCACAAGCUUCCUUCCAUGAGAUAUAGGUUACAUCCCUGUUAAGAGUUCUAGAAAUACUACACCAAGGCUAUAAACGCUUUUUCCCGUUAACUUGUGGGUCAAAAGGUAUUCUGGAUCAAGAAAACCCUGCAUAUAAGUAAAAACAUUGUUUUAAUGCCAAAGGAUAUGAAAAUAGAAUGCGAACAUAAUUGUUGUUACCAGGGCAGUAAGAGAAACUAAUCAACCUGUCAAUAAGAUUGAGAUUGAGAUCACGGAGAUUUUGAUAAUCACAAAGAAGAUUACGGUAUUACCAUAUUUAUAUGUGUGUUGUAUUUUAAGUAGUAAUUAUAGUUUACCUAAAAUUGUAUCAUAUUACCAUGUACGUUUGUAAUAUCCAUCUAGAUAAUGCAAUGUAUCUCGAACGAGCAGUAUUAACUUGUGAUCGUUUUCCAGCUGGAGAGUAUAAUAGGCUUAAGGAGUGGAAGAUUGGACCGUGUGAAGUGCUGCAAAAGAUCAAUGAUAAUGCUUAUAGGUUGCGCCUUCCCAGCCAUUUGAAGACUUCCGAUGUCUUCAAUGUGAAACAUCUAAGUCCAUGUUUUGUGGAGUCUGAUGAAGCUAAUGUGAACUCGAUAGUGAGUUCUUUCCAACCCAAGGCGACUGAUGCAGGAAGAUCAGAGUCGGGUAAUGUUGAUCUGUCAGAUAGCACGUUGAUGGCGUUGAGAUACCAUGAGAUGGUGGAUUAGCGCAAAGAUAAAAAAAUAAAUGCAAUCUUUCCUUAAUUGGGGCAAUUUAGACACCUUUUUGGUAAUUUGACCAUAACUUUGGCUACGGUUAUCAGAAUCGCUAUUAUGGCCCAAAUCCGGAAAGCUCUUUUCAGCGCGCAUGUCAUGGUCUCGAUGGCUAUCAAUUUCGAGCCCAAAAUCUACUGUUUUUCUUUUCGAAAUUUAAUUUUUAGUUAUUUUUUACCAUUUAUGGUAAUAUUUAGUUUCCUUUUUUCUAUAUGUUAAAGAAUCAGGAUUGAGC